GGUCCCCCGGAAGUAUUGCCCAGGACUAGGCAGGAGACUUCAGGCUUGGUCACCCCCAGAGCAAGGUGGAAGCCCAGCAGUUUAUUGGUUGGUUUGGCUUUUGGUGACAACAAGGUCCUCCUUUGGGACCAAUCCUUGGCCUGGGCCAUAAAGUCCCAGGGCAGAAGUGUGAGUUUGAGUGGGAAAUGAGCAGCAGGGAGGGUUGGAAACAGCUCAGGGAGCAAUUCAACAGGCUCCAGACCUGUGGCCAAUACGAGCUGCAGAGGGGGAACUGAAGGUUCCUGCCAGUGCUAAUGAUGCCAAUUGGAGCCUCUGGCAGAAGUAGGGUAGGAAGGAAGUGCCCUUAGGAUUUGGGAAUAGGAAGUUACUGGAAGCCAGCCCAAGAUAGACCCUGUUGGAGAAGCGGCUCUGAAACCUGUGGAUCCUGGCCAUCCUCACAGCCCUUGUGGUCCCUCUGGGCGAUGCUGUUGGCCCGGGCAGUUCCCUGGAAAAGGUGCCUGGGUCGGGUGCCUUGGUUUGAUUUGGAUGGAGAUGGAAAAGCAGCUCCAAACCAGGACCCCAGGACAAGGUGACGUGGGAAGCAAAUGGCCCUUGCCCAGGGGUCAGUGUCCCUUUGUGCCCGGGGGGACUCUCUGGCAGGGCCGGGGUCUGUCGGGCUCAUUGUGCGGGCGGCUGUUGGUGCCCUCAGUGGGAUUGGAUGGAUGUGAUUCCAGGGGCUGGGAGCACUGUUGCCAUGCAGUGCUGUAGUUUCCCUUACGGUGCUGGGUCCGGGGGGUCUCCCUGGCAUCGUUGUCCCCCUGUGUGAGCGGUGCCAGUCCCAGCCCCAGUGUCACAGCAGCAGGGCCGUCCCCUGGGCUCUGCCUGCUGGGCUGUUCUGGGAAGUGCUGCCAAAAGAGCAAAGGGAUCAGCUGGGGCAGGGGAUGGCACAGUUUGGCACCAUC